GAUAGAGUUUGAUCCUGGCUCAGGACGAACGCUGGCGGCGUGCCUAACACAUGCAAGUCGAGCGAAGAACUUAUCAUGAAACCUUCGGGUUGACUGAUAAACUUCUUAGCGGCGGACGGGUGAGUAACACGUGGGCAACCUGCCCUGCAGUUGGGGAUAACUCCGGGAAACCGGGGCUAAUACCGAAUAAUCAGUUCCUUCGCAUGAAGGAACUCUGAAAGACGGCUAUGCUGUCACUGCAGGAUGGGCCCGCGGCGCAUUAGCUAGUUGGUGAGGUAAUGGCUUACCAAGGCGACGAUGCGUAGCCGACCUGAGAGGGUGAUCGGCCACACUGGGACUGAGACACGGCCCAGACUCCUACGGGAGGCAGCAGUAGGGAAUCUUCCACAAUGGACGAAAGUCUGAUGGAGCAACGCCGCGUGAGCGAAGAAGGUUUUCGGAUCGUAAAGCUCUGUUGUGAGGGAAGAACAAGUACAGGAGUAACUGCCUGUACCUUGACGGUACCUCAUUAGAAAGCCACGGCUAACUACGUGCCAGCAGCCGCGGUAAUACGUAGGUGGCAAGCGUUGUCCGGAAUUAUUGGGCGUAAAGCGCGCGCAGGCGGCCUUUUAAGUCUGAUGUGAAAGCCCACGGCUUAACCGUGGAAGGUCAUUGGAAACUGGAAGGCUUGAGUACAGAAGAGGAAAGCGGAAUUCCACGUGUAGCGGUGAAAUGCGUAGAGAUGUGGAGGAACACCAGUGGCGAAGGCGGCUUUCUGGUCUGUAACUGACGCUGAGGCGCGAAAGCAUGGGGAGCAAACAGGAUUAGAUACCCUGGUAGUCCAUGCCGUAAACGAUGAGUGCUAAGUGUUAGGGGGUUUCCGCCCCUUAGUGCUGGAGCAAACGCAUUAAGCACUCCGCCUGGGGAGUACGGCCGCAAGGCUGAAACUCAAAGGAAUUGACGGGGACCCGCACAAGCGGUGGAGCAUGUGGUUUAAUUCGAAGCUACGCGAAGAACCUUACCAGGUCUUGACAUCCCGCUGACCGGUAUAGAGAUAUACCUUUCCCUUCGGGGACAGCGGUGACAGGUGGUGCAUGGUUGUCGUCAGCUCGUGUCGUGAGAUGUUGGGUUAAGUCCCGUAACGAGCGCAACCCUUGACCUUAGUUGCCAGCAUUCAGUUGGGCACUCUAAGGUGACUGCCGGUGACAAACCGGAGGAAGGUGGGGAUGACGUCAAAUCAUCAUGCCCCUUAUGACCUGGGCUACACACGUGCUACAAUGGACGGUACAGAGGGUUGCCAACCCGCGAGGGGGAGCUAAUCCCAUAAAACCGUUCCCAGUUCGGAUUACAGGCUGCAACUCGCCUGCAUGAAGCAGGAAUCGCUAGUAAUCGUGGAUCAGCAUGCCACGGUGAAUACGUUCCCGGGUCUUGUACACACCGCCCGUCACACCACGAGAGUUUGUAACACCCGAAGUCGGUGGGGUAACCCUUUUGGGAGCCAGCCGCCGAAGGUGGGACAGAUGAUUGGGGUGAAGUCGUAACAAGGUAGCCGUAUCGGAAGGUGCGGUUGGAUCACCUCCUU
rnacentral:rRNA from 1 species